AAUGAACGCUGGCGGCAGGCCUAACACAUGCAAGUCGAGCGGAUGAAGCGAGCUUGCUGCUGGACUCAGCGGCGAACGGGUGAGUAAUGCCUAGGUAUCCGCCCGGUAGCGCGGGAUAACGUCCGGUAACGGGCGCUAAUACCGCAUAAGUACUGUGGGCCAAAUUGGGGGAUCUUCGGAGCUUUCGCUAUUUGAUGAGCCUAGGCCGGCUUAGCUCGUUGGUGGGGUAAAGGCCUACACAGGCGGCGAUCCGUAACUGGUCUGAGAGGAGGAUCAGUCACACGGGAGGUGAGACAGAGACCAGACACCUGCGGUAAGCCACAGUGGAGAAUAUUAGGCAAGGGGCGAGAGCCUUAUACAGCCAUACCGCGUGUGUGAAGAAGGUCUACGGAUGGGAAAGCACUGUAAGUUGUGGGGAAGGACAGUAAGUUAAGAAGGUGCGAUAUUGACGGUACCAGCAGAAGAAGCACCGGCUAACUACGUG
rnacentral:rRNA from 1 species